rnacentral:tRNA from 6 species
GCAGUGGUAGCUUAGCUGGCCUAAAGCGCCUCCCUGUCACGGAGGAGACCGUGGGUUCGAAUCCCAUCCACUGCGUCA